UACGUAGGGCGCAAGCGUUGUCCGGAAUUAUUGGGCGUAAAGAGCUCGUAGGCGGCCUGUUGCGUCCGCUGUGAAAUCCCGGGGCUCAACCCCGGGCGUGCAGUGGAUACGGGCUGGCUGGAGGCAGGCAGGGGAGAACGGAAUUCCUGGUGUAGCGGUGAAAUGCGCAGAUAUCAGGAGGAACACCGGUGGCGAAGGCGGGUCUCUGGGCCAUUACUGACGCUGAGGAGCGAAAGCAUGGGGGAGCGAACAGG
rnacentral:rRNA from 1 species